rnacentral:rRNA from 1 species
UACGUAGGGGGCAAGCGUUGUCCGGAAUCAUUGGGCGUAAAGAGCGUGUAGGCGGCCAGAUAAGUCCGCUGUGAAAUCUCGAGGCUCAACUUCGAGCUGUCGGUGGAAACUGUCUGGCUAGAGUCCGGAAGAGGAGAAUGGAAUUCCUGGUGUAGCGGUGAAAUGCGUAGAUAUGCGGAGGAACACCGAUGGCGAAGGCAGUCCCCUGGGCCUGUACUGACGCUCAUGCACGAAAGCGUGGGGAGCAAACAGG